rnacentral:rRNA from 1 species
UACGAAGGGGGCUAGCGUUGCUCGGAAUUACUGGGCGUAAAGGGCGCGUAGGCGGCACUGUUAGUCAGGCGUGAAAGUCCUGGGCUCAACCUGGGAAUGGCAUUGGAAACUGGCCAGCUGGAGUGUGGCAGAGGGGGGUGGAAUUCCGCGUGUAGCAGUGAAAUGCGUAGAGAUGCGGAGGAACACCGAUGGCGAAGGCAGCCCCCUGGGCCAACACUGACGCUCAGGCACGAAAGCGUGGGGAGCAAACAGG